rnacentral:rRNA from 1 species
AGCGAACGCUGGCGGCAGGCCUAACACAUGCAAGUCGAACGAACUCUUCGGAGUUAGUGGCGGACGGGUGAGUAACACGUGGGAACGUGCCUUUAGGUUCGGAAUAACUCAGGGAAACUUGUGCUAAUACCGAAUGUGCCCUUCGGGGGAAAGAUUUAUCGCCUUUAGAGCGGCCCGCGUCUGAUUAGCUAGUUGGUGAGGUAAAGGCUCACCAAGGCGACGAUCAGUAGCUGGUCUGAGAGGAUGAUCAGCCACAUUGGGACUGAGACACGGCCCAAACUCCUACGGGAGGCAGCAGUGGGGAAUCUUGCGCAAUGGGCGAAAGCCUGACGCAGCCAUGGCGCGUGAAUGAUGAAGGUCUUAGGAUUGUAAAAUUCUUUCACCGGGGACGAUAAUGACGGUACCCGGAGAAGAAGCCCCGGCUAACUUCGUG